UUUCAAGAAGUGAGCCAAGUGAACAUUGCUUGAGAAUCUAUGUAGGAUUGGAUAGAAUCGGUGACCCAGGAAACUGGGAUCAGCAUAUCAUUGUUGAAGAUGUUUCUAACCUAAAAGAUCAUCUGAAGGUUAAAGAUAUAACCACUAAAUGUGUCUUUCUUAUUGCAAACAAGGAAAUGUUGCCAACUGAUGUCAAGUAUCUUGGAUUAGAGCCAACUCUCAUCUUUUUUUAUCAAAGCUAUAAUCAUUUGAAUCCUUUUCAGCAUGGGAAGCAAAAAUCAAAUGUUUGAUAAAUAUAUGUUAACACCUGUAAGCCUAAUAUAUUUUAUUGAAUAAAGAAAAACUAUUUGUAAAGGUAGAAGGUUCUAAAAAGUGGGACAUUCAAAAGAAAGCUCUUCCAGAAAGUUCAUAUUUUUUCUUAGUUUGCUACACUUCUAUGUGAAAAAGGCUUAAGGGUUCUAAAUAUAUCUUUCUUGGUCUGUAAAACAUUUUUUCA